rnacentral:rRNA from 1 species
AUAACCUACCUAUAAGACGUGGGAAUUAACGUUACGGGAAACCGGAGCUAAUACCGGAUAAUAUAUUGAACCGCAUGGUUCAAUAGUGAAAGACGGUUUUGCUGUCACUUAUAGAUGGAUCCGCGCCGCAUUAGCUAGUUGGUAAGGUAACGGCUUACCAAGGCAACGAUGCGUAGCCGACCUGAGAGGGUGAUCGGCCACACUGGAACUGAGACACGGUCCAGACUCCUACGGGAGGCGCAGGC